AUGGCGGAGGUUGUGAGUCCCUGCUAUGACUCUGUUUGCAAACUCUUGUUUCAUUGUUUAAGCGAUUAAAUCUCUCGAGUAGACGCUGUCUCUUUAGAUGCGUGGGAAAAAUAGCACUUUAUGGACUUCCACAGAGGACAUCAUGUUUAAUACGGUUCUGGAAAAAUCCAGUCAGAAGUUGUUCACGGAGUUUUCACAAUAACUGCUUCUCAUGAACCGAAGCUGGAUUUGCGCGACGUCUCCUCUUGAAAGUUGGAUUACUGUGCACUUCUGGAUCACAGGCUAUUCGCAGCUGGACACAUCCUUCUACACUGUAUGCAAACAUGCAACAUCAUAACACACAGUACAAGGAGUCAGACUGGCAUAUGAGGAGCAAAGGAACCCAGGCAGUAGCAUCGUUUCACAAUGUUUCCAUCACCAUCAUCAGUGGAUGCCUUUGCUGUCCGUAGCCUGAGAUUUCAGAUUUGCAGCAAAAAAAAUUUGAUUUUCUCAUUUAUUGGAAUGCUGUGCAGGUAUUUGUACCUUGCAGCCAUCCAUUACAAUGUCACCAAGCCGUAACAAAAGCAGGAGAGGGAAAGUACAAGGCUAUGUUCCCAAAACACACAAGUGACAUACCUUAUGUGGAGGAUGUGAUCAGGCUUGUAUUUGAUGAGGUAUUUGAAGAUAAGCUGAAGGAAGCCCUGAUUCCAAUGGACCUGGCAUCACAGUUUGAGAG